rnacentral:rRNA from 1 species
UACAGAGGUCUCGAGCGUUAGGCGGAAUCACUGGGCUUAAAGCGUGUGUAGGCGGAUCGUUAAAGUACCUUGUGAAAUCCCACGGCUUAACCGUGGAACUGCUUGGUAUACUGGCGGUCUUGAGCCAGCUAGGGGCUACCGGAACAAAUGGUGGAGCGGUGAAAUGCGUAGAUAUCAUUUGGAACGCCAAUGGUGAAAACAGGUAGCUGGGGCUGUGCUGACGCUGAGACACGAAAGCCAGGGGAGCAAACGGG